rnacentral:rRNA from 1 species
UACGGGGGGGGGCAAGCGUUGUUCGGAAUUACUGGGCGUAAAGGGCUCGUAGGUGGCCAACUAAGUCAGACGUGAAAUCCCCUCGGCUUAACCGGGGAACUGCGUCUGAUACUGGAUGGCUUGGGUGUGGGAGAGGGAUGCGGAAUUCCAGGUGUAGCGGUGAAAUGCGUAGAUAUCUGGAGGAACACCGGUGGCGAAGGCGGCAUCCUGGACCACGACUGACGCUGAGUGAGCGAAAGCCAGGGGAGCAAACGGG